rnacentral:tRNA from 1 species
AGGAAGUUAGUUUAAAUAAAACCUUUGAUUUCGGCUCAAAAACCUGUGGUUAAAGUCCACAACUGCCUA